GACGAACUGUCCAAACGUUGUUCGGAAUCACUGGGCUUAAAGGGCGCGUAGGCGGGCCAUCAAGUCAGGGGUGAAAGCCCCCAGCUCAACUGGGGAAGUGCCUUUGAUACUGGUGGUCUCGAGGGGGAUAGGGGCAUGCGGAACUUCCGGUGGAGCGGUGAAAUGCGUAGAUAUCGGAAGGAACACCGGUGGCGAAAGCGGCGUGCUGGGUCCCUUCUGACGCUGAGGCGCGAAAGCCAGGGGAGCGAACGGG
rnacentral:rRNA from 1 species